rnacentral:rRNA from 1 species
GAUGAACGCUGGCGGCGUGCCUAAUACAUGCAAGUCGAGCGGACCGAAUGAGAGCUUGCUCUUGUUCGGUUAGCGGCGGACGGGUGAGUAACACGUGGGCAACCUACCCGUAAGACCGGGAUAACUCCGGGAAACCGGAGCUAAUACCGGAUAACACCGAAGACCGCAUGGUCUUCGGUUGAAAGGCGGCUUUGGCUGUCACUUACGGAUGGGCCCGCGGCGCAUUAGCUAGUUGGUGAGGUAACGGCUCACCAAGGCGACGAUGCGUAGCCGGCCUGGGAGGGUGACCGGCCACACUGGGACUGAGACACGGCCCAGACUCCUACGGGAGGCAGCAGUAGGGAAUCUUCCGCAAUGGACGAAAGUCUGACGGAGCGACGCCGCGUGAGCGAAGAAGGUCUUCGGAUCGUAAAGCUCUGUUGUUAGGGAAGAAGAAGUACCGUUCGAAUAGGGCGGUACGGUGACGGUACCUAACGAGAAAGCCCCGGCUAACUACGUGCCAGCCGCCGCAGUAACAC